UAAAGAACAUGAGACUUAAAACCGUCCUCUUACAACUUCACUCAGAACCCAAAACCAAACAAAAUGAAAUUAAUAUCUUAUGUCGUCGUUGCAUUGUGUGUCAUUGUUGCUGCAAUGGCUCAAGAUGAUGAACUCAGUGCUAAUACAGAGAAUUUUUUGAAUAUGUUACUACAGCAAGCAGGCUGAGCCAUUACAGUAAGAGGCUAAAUUCAUUUCAGCAAAACAAGUCAAGCAAGCACUAGAUUCCUAUAUUUAAGAUUGAUUUUAAUGCAACGAUUAUUUUUUGAAACUUUCACUUACUGAAAAAAAUGUUCUUUCAAUAAAAAUGAAUAUACCA